rnacentral:rRNA from 1 species
GACGAACGCUGGCGGCGUGCUUAACACAUGCAAGUCGAACGGAAAGGCCCCUUUGGGGGUACUCGAGUGGCGAACGGGUGAGUAACACGUGAGUAACCUGCCCUUGACUUCGGGAUAACUUCAGGAAACUGGGGCUAAUACCGGAUAGGAAUCCUUGCUGCAUGGUGGGGGUUGGAAAGCUUCGGCGGUUUUGGAUGGACUCGCGGCUUAUCAGCUUGUUGGUGGGAUAGUGGCUUACCAAGGCUUUGACGGGUAGCCGGCCUGAGAGGGCGACCGGCCACAUUGGGACUGAGAUACGGCCCAGACUCCUACGGGAGGCAGCAGUGGGGAAUAUUGCACAAUGGGCGGAAGCCUGAUGCAGCAACGCCGCGUGCGGGAUGACGGCCUUCGGGUUGUAAACCGCUUUCAGCAGGGGCGAAGCUUGUGGUGACGGUACCUGCAGAAGAAGCACCGGCUAACUACGUG